rnacentral:rRNA from 1 species
UACGGGGGGGGCAAGCGUUGUUCGGAAUUACUGGGCGUAAAGGGCUCGUAGGCGGCCAACUAAGUCGGAUGUGAAAUCCCCAGGCUUAACCUGGGAACUGCAUCCGAUACUGGAUGGCUUGAAUCCGGGAGAGGGAUGCAGAAUUCCAGGUGUAGCGGUGAAAUGCGUAGAUAUCGGGAGGAACACCAGUGGCGAAGGCGACUACCUGGCCUGUUAUUGACGCUGAGGCGCGAAAGCUAGGGGAGCAAACGGG